AUGAUCAUGGCUUGGCCGGAGUCCAGCUCUAGAGGCAAAGCUGAGCGGGGGAUAACAGCACUUGUUCACAGAGCUUUGCGUCCAGUUCUGCUACAUAAUCAUUUUCUCAUGCUAGACUCACACAUUCUGACUGUGUCUGAAAUCAGAAGAAGCUGCAUUUACCUCCUCUCAGGAAGUACAGGUUUGUGUGUGUGUGUGUGUGUGUGUGUGUGUGUGUGUGUGUGUGUGUGUGUGUGUGUGUGUGUGUGUGUGUGUGUGUGUGUGUGUGUGUGUGUGUUUGUCUAUAGGUGAAUUUCGAUUAGCCCUUUCACUGAGCGCUGCUGUAAUUUCCUCUGAUGUAACCUGCUGAUGUAUGCAGAAGAAAUCAGGCCUUAACCCCAGAGGGCUGCGGUGACCCACACACCUUUGCACACGCUAACGUGCUGCGCAAGCACAAAACAACCAACAUUUACACACAAACACACGCCAACAUGCACAAAACAGGUCAAGUCACCUUUAUACAAUACUGGUUGUGUCAAAGCAGCUUUACAGUGUCAAACAGGAAAAUAGUUUGUCAAUAAUACAAGAGGACAAUAACAAACAGUCAUUUUUCCUGCUAAAGUCAGUUCAUUGAUGAUUCAGUGAUGUCAUCAUCCAGUUCAGCUCUCUUCCAAUAGUGUCUGUGCAAUCAGUCAAGCAUCCCCAACUAAGCAAGCAAAAGGCGACAGUGGCAAGGAACCAAAACUCCAUCGGUGACAGAAAUGGAGAAAAAAAAAACCUUGGGAGAAACCAGGCUCAGUUGGGGGGCCAGACGACACCAGCAUGGCGUGGUUUAAUCAAGCGGCAACCUUCCAGUCUCUCUUGAAACCAACACGGAAGUGACUUAAACUGCAAUUUAUUGCUAGAGGCUGGCUCCAAAGGGGAGUCAAUCCCAAAGAGCCCUCAUGUUAAAAUGUCCAACUUUACAGCAGUAAAAAAUAUGUUUACAGCCUGGUGCAAAAAGUGGUUUUGGUCUAUAUAGCUAAUUUUGCCCUUCAUGACAACGGUGAGGGGGGUGAUUUUUUUUAUAACUCAUCCAUUUAAAUUAUAUUAAGCCUUAAAGUUCUGCUUAAUAUAGUGGCGUGGCCACUUGAGUGACAGGUGGAUUGCCGCUGCUGUCACCACUGUCGAGCUAGGCGGGUGUGGUUUCAGCAACCAGCUCCACCCACGCUCUGCCUCUUUGCCCAUUUUCGAUUAUCCGCGGUGAUACGCUGCCAAGAUGGCGGCGCCACCUCAGCCCACUUUAAGCUUAAAAAUGCUCUUCAGAAACUACGUCCAUGUUUUAUACAGUCUAUAGGUUUAAUUCCAGGCUGCAACAAAGGUGCAGAGGUUUUGUCUGGUUCCUGUGGUCUUGUGCCGAUGGAUGUCGAGGUGAUGAGGUCUUCGCAGGGGAUCUGUCUCUGGAGCUCAUAUAGUUGACGUGGUCUCCGCUGACAUUCAGGGCUGUAGAGGUCGUCUCUAAGUGUUGAUCCACCAUCUGAUCUGGAUACAGACUGGAUCUGGAGGCUACGGUGAUCUCGGAAUAAGAAUGAAAGAGACUAAUAUUAGCAUAGAUGCCAUUCUUCUUACGGUGUAACGAGUACAUUGGGUAUUAUGGGAAGUGUUCCCGGUUCUGGUUGACCUAAUUAAUCCAGCCUAACAAUCUGAGCUGCUAUCCACAAUUAUUGACUCAUCUGAGUCUAAAGAUGUUUUAGAGAAAAGUUAUUAAACUGUUUGAUUAAGCAAAAAUGAUAAACAUCUUCUUUGUUAAGCCUCCUGAACUCUAAAGGAACGACGUCUAAGCAAUACAACAUUAAAAUGUAACUAACAUUAACAAUGAGCAGUAGCCUACAUUUGAUACAUUAUUUAGUAUUUUUUGUUAACAUUAGUUCAUAAAAAUUCAACUGUUUGUUGUUACAGUAAUUCAUGUUAGCUCAGAUUCAUAAAAUAAUAUCAGUGUUAUUUUGCUAUCAUUGAGAUACUAUUAUAGUUUAUUGCUUUAUAUUUUUCGGUUUCAUUUUUAAUGUUAACGUUUUAGUAAUUCUGUUGUGUUUUUGUAAUUUGUAUUUUUUUUAAAUAGUUAAAUAUAUUGUUUUUGUUAAUUUUAUUUCAGUUUUAGUUAUUUUAACACAUCUAGUUAAACUAAAUGCAUCAGAAAUGUUGCCUUAGCAAAUACCUUAAAUAAAAUAAGUCUUUUUUAUUAAAUGCAACACUAUAACAGCUCUAGCAGAAUAUAAUGCGAUGUAAACCUGCGGCUCCACAGUUCAGCUGCGGCUGACAGCAGAGACCGAAGCCACACUCAGACAUUUCCUACUUAGAAUGCUUAACUCUCAUC
ensembl:lncRNA